GACGAACGCUGGCGGCGUGCUUAACACAUGCAAGUCGAACGAAGAGCGAUGGAAGCUUGCUUCUAUCAAUCUUAGUGGCGCACGGGUGAGUAACGCGUAAUCAACCUGCCCUUCAGAGGGGGACAACAGUUGGAAACGACUGCUAAUACCGCAUACGAUCUAAUCUCGGCAUCGAGGAUAGAUGAAAGGUGGCCUCUACAUGUAAGCUAUCACUGAAGGAGGGGAUUGCGUCUGAUUAGCUAGUUGGAGGGGUAACGGCCCACCAAGGCGAUGAUCAGUAGCCGGUCUGAGAGGAUGAACGGCCACAUUGGGACUGAGACACGGCCCAGACUCCUACGGGAGGCAGCAGUGGGGAAUCUUCCGCAAUAGACGAAAGUCUGACGGAGCAACGCCGCGUGAGUGAUGACGGCCUUCGGGUUGUAAAGCUCUGUUAAUCGGGACGAAAGGCCUUCUUGCGAAUAGUGAGAAGGAUUGACGGUACCGGAAUAGAAAGCCACGGCUAACUACGUG
rnacentral:rRNA from 1 species